CUGUUGCCUCGGCGGGGUCACGCCCCGGGUGCGUCGCAGCCCCGGAACCAGGCGCCCGCCGGAGGAACCAACCAAACUCUUUCUGUAGUCCCCUCGCGGACGUAUUUCUUACAGCUCUGAGCAAAAAUUCAAAAUGAAUCAAAACUUUCAACAACGGAUCUCUUGGUUCUGGCAUCGAUGAAGAACGCAGCGAAAUGCGAUAAGUAAUGUGAAUUGCAGAAUUCAGUGAAUCAUCGAAUCUUUGAACGCACAUUGCGCCCGCCAGUAUUCUGGCGGGCAUGCCUGUCCGAGCGUCAUUUCAACCCUCGAACCCCUCCGGGGGAUCGGCGUUGGGGAUCGGGACCCCUCACACGGGUGCCGGCCCCGAAAUACAGUGGCGGUCUCGCCGCAGCCUCUCCUGCGCAGUAGUUUGCACAACUCGCACCGGGAGCGCGGCGCGUCCACGUCCGUAAAACACCCAACUUUCUGAAAUGUUGACCUCGGAUCAGGUAGGAAUACCCGCUGAACUUAAGCAUAUCAAUAA
rnacentral:rRNA from 1 species